UUGGAGAGAGAGGAUGGACUGCAGAUGCCCGAUGCAUGUGCUUGUGGGGCUUGGCUGACCGAUGCAUCGUGCGUGCCUCACCUCCAUCUGCAGUUGGAGAGAGAGAGAGAGAUGGACUGGCACCUACGACGCUCUGGUCGAUGCCGCGGCCGCCGCCGUCCACGAGCUCGGGUGCACGGUGGUGCUCACGGACCUCCACCGCUGCCUCCACGCCUUCAGCAAUUCCUGCGACCGAGCCGAGGGCCUCGGCCCCGCCGCCUCCCGCCACGACGACCUGUGCCGCGUCGUGCGCGCGGUCGACAAGGAUCUCUGGGCUGCCUCUGGCGGCCGGGAGGAGAACGAGAUGGAAGAGGAGAAGAAUCGCCCUCCGACCACGCCACCGGCGGCCGAGGACAAAUAGCCCAAUCGAUCUACCUCAUCUCCUGUUGAGGUGAUGUUCAUCGUUCUUGUUUUUUCCAUGUGAUGUGAUGUUCAUCGUUCCUCUUAUUUUCUUGGUUGAUGUGCUAACCGUGUUAGUCAUCUAGAAGAUGAAUGAAACUGUGACGGGAAAGGAGAGAUGGACUGGGAUAUUUUGCCUUGCCGUGCCGCAUGUUGGACGAGAUGCGGUAGCCCCAUGCUUUGUUCUGAUGGGCCUCCUCUGCUUGAUGGUUGCCGCUGGUUGAGGUUCAUCUUUCUCUGGUUCGCAUGUUCUUUGCCGCUGCUUUGGAUUCGUCGUGCUAAUUUCGCAUGUUUGCUUUGUUUCGUUCAUGCACAAUCUGGUAUGGUUUCCUGUUGUCGCUUGCGUCGAGCCUUGGGUCCGUCUCUCCUUCUCAUUGAGCCUACUUCUUCUGUCACUGGCGCUUCUUCUUCUCGUCCGUCAUGCUGCUUACCCAACGUGCUUCUGCUUGCUGCCUCGGGUUGUAUGAUCUCUUCUGUUGCUGCGUCAUUCGACUCAUCAAGAUGAUGUGGUUGAGUUACGAAGCCUCUUCUUGCAGUGUUGUCUGCAAGGCCGAAGGGAAGUUAUUAAUGCAUUUGAGCUACUCUAUCUGAUUGUUCAUCUCCUGAACCUGUUUUAGUUGAUAUAGAAGUGUUCUCUAUUUCAGAAAGCCACAACACGAGAUUGUGCCCCCUCUUGCUCCAGUAUUCGAUACUAUCUAUUUCUGUAGGCUAUUCCUCAUGUUGCAACCUUUUCCUGUAGAAUGGAAAGGAAGAUGGAAGAAAUUGCAGGAGGAAUGGUGUUCCCAGCGUGACAUUGAAAACCAGUACGUCAAGACUAUAAAGGGGCUGUGAAGGGCAAAAUGUUAUGGAUCCAGAGUGGGAGAUGAGUUACCAACAAUGUAUCAAGGAUAAACCGGGACAUGGAUUCCUAAGUUCCAACUUACAUAGCAAAAUUAUAUAGGGAGAAUGCCCGCAUUUUGAAAACUCUAUUACAUAGUUUGAAGCUAUGUUUCUUUCAAUUUUUAUUAUUAAAAGGAUCUAAUUAUUGCCAAUUUGUCAAGCAUUUAUUGUCGAAUAACUCUUUGUUUCAAAUGAGACCUGUGGCGCAAGAGGUAAAUUUAUUAUACAUCUUAUUGUA